UGGGACAAUCAACGGUUGUCCUGUGAGACAAUCUAUCUGGAUGGCCGCUUUAGAACCCCCUCCCCCCAAGUAGUCACCAUAACCUCUGCUUUGAGUAGGAGUGUCCAGCAGAGCUGCUGUUUGGAGUGGACCUUGUCUUGGAAGUCACCCUCAUGAGAUUUAGAAAGUGUAGUACUGGGAGGAAUGUGUCUGCUGCCGUCCACGGACCCAUUCACCAAACUACUGCCAUCAAGUCAGUUUGACUCUUAGCGACCCUGCAGGACACACACACUGUCUCUGUGGGUUUCUGACACGGUCCCUUUCAUCACGAUUGUGUGUGGAGAUUAUCCGGAAAGUUAACGGGUUAUGGCGCAUCAGGAUCAGAGAACGUUAGGGGACAGUUCUUUUGUCUACGCUUGUCUUUCGCUAGCCCUUGGCCUCUCAGCCACAUGGUGAGUUGGCCUUUGCCUUGUUUCGUGGGUCUUUGCCUCAUUUCCUGGUGCAGUGCCACGACUUUGUCUCCUUACAGGAGUAAAAAGCCUCAUCUUUCUCCUGUGGAACAGCUGGUUGGGUUUGAAUCGCUGAUAUUGCAGUUAGCAGUGCAACGUGGAAGCCACGAUGCUCCCACGGCUCCUUCCACUGAGCACAGAGACAGAUGUAAACACCUUCUGUUUGGAAUAAACUCGUGCAUGCAUGAACUGGAAUUCUAGUAGCAAUACUUUGGACUUACCCUUUGCCUUUUGAAGGCCAGUGGGAGCUUUGCAAUCCAGAGGUGAGGUAAGGCCGAUCCUGACUCUACGGAAGGAAGCUUCGGAACCCAUCAUCAUCAUCAUCAUCAUCACCACCGUCAUCAUCACGCUGGCAAGCAGCAUACAUUUGUAGAAUAUGUGUCAUGCCAGGCACUGCUCUGGGAACUGGAUCUUCUCACAGCCUUAAGAGGGCCCUCAUCCCAGAUGACUGGCCACAUGAGAAGAGAGCAGACAGAGAGGGAGACAGUCAUGGGAAGGUAGAGGCCGACACUGGAGUGAUGAUGCCACAAGCCAAGGAAUGCUGGGAGCCACCAGAGGAUGGAAGAGACCAGGCAGCCUCUUCCCCGAGAACUGCCCAUAGUACCAUGAAAAUAAAUUUCUGUUGAAUGAAAAC